rnacentral:rRNA from 1 species
UCGAUAACGAACGAGACCUUAACCUACUAAAUAGUGCUGCUAGCAUUUGCUGGUAUAGUCACUUCUUAGAGGGACUAUCGAUUUCAAGUCGAUGGAAGUUUGAGGCAAUAACAGGUCUGUGAUGCCCUUAGACGUUCUGGGCCGCACGCGCGCUACACUGACGGAGCCAGCGAGUAUAAACCUUGGCCGAGAGGUCUGGGAAAUCUUGUGAAACUCCGUCGUGCUGGGGAUAGAGCAUUGUAAUUGUUGCUCUUCAACGAGGAAUUCCUAGUAAGCGCAAGUCAUCAGCUUGCGUUGAUUACGUCCCUGCCCUUUGUACACACCGCCCGUCGCUACUACCGAUUGAAUGGCU